UACGUAGGGUGCGAGCGUUAAUCGGAAUUACUGGGCGUAAAGCGUGCGCAGGCGGUUCGUUAAGUCAGAUGUGAAAGCCCCGGGCUCAACCUGGGAACUGCAUUUGAAACUGGCGGGCUCGAGUGUGGCAGAGGGGGGUGGAAUUCCACGUGUAGCAGUGAAAUGCGUAGAGAUGUGGAGGAACACCGAUGGCGAAGGCAGCCCCCUGGGCUAACACUGACGCUCAGGCACGAAAGCGUGGGGAGCAAACAGG
rnacentral:rRNA from 1 species